UUUAUUUCCUAUUGUUCAUUCCCAAAAAUCUCAGAUAUCAUGGCGGCUUCCUCUCUUCUGAUUUGACGGCUCCUGCUUCCUGCUGGUCCCGAUGGCCUCUACGCCUCCUCCAUUGCUCUAGGUCGCUGCGGCCGUUGAUGUGGGUGGGGAGAGGAUGGACAAACUCCUAUGCGGAAGGAGGGAGGACUGCUCAUGCCCGUGAGCGUGGCUGCUAGAGGAUCUUGACGCUGGUAACGAAAAGAUCGUUGCUUGAUGUGGGCCUUCAUUGGUAAUGCCUCCUCAUUCCUCGCUCUUCUCACUUAAUUAAGGUAGUGCUCCCCUUCCCCUUCCUCAAGUAUAGCUUCCUGAUCUGGUUUUUUGCCUGAGAUUUGUACGUCCUUGGCUGUGAUUGUGAGCAUAUAAAUCGUAGCUGCUUGCUUUGUAAUGCAUCUACUGCUACCUCAGCUGAUAGCUUGUGUAUAUAUGAGGGUGAUGACAUCGUUAUUAGCUUAAUUGUGAAUAAGCUCUGUGUUACAACUGAUGGUUACUUAUUAACUGCUGAGGAUUUCAGUGUGGUUGAUGAUGAACUCAACGUAAGCUUCAUAGUUCAUAGUUAAUAGCUUGAGUAUUUUAGAAACCUUGACAUAGUUAAUUUGUCGUGGGUACUACAUGGAAAUCUGUACUUUGACCAGGAACAAAAAGGUCUGGUUGUUGGUGCUCUUGUAUUUUGGUUAUUUCUUCAAUCUGAAAUAGCUUACUGAGUAAUGAUUCUGUUUGAUUAUGUUUUUAUGUCCUUUCUAUUUAUGCAGUGACUUGUGCUUCCAUGGGCAACAAUUUGUUGAACCAAAAGGUUAUUGUACAGGCCAAUAUCUUUAAAAGUAGAAGAAGGUGAUCAUUUUCUGUCCAUUUGAUUUUGGUCUUCGGAAGCUCAUUACAUAUGCCUACAGUGGUGGAGCUGCUGCUUGAAUCGAUGGGAGAUGGAGGAGUUGGCGUGUUGCUGCUUGUGAUUUGUGUGCUCGAGAGGAGCUGCUGCUUGCUUGCAGUGGAGAAAAGAAGCAAUCCUUAGGCGAGGUUAUGAUAUGGAAUGUGGGGGACAGGAACUGCAUUGGCGUCUUGAUAAGACACACUAUAAGCAUGAAGUCCCUUUCAUGCCAUUCUUCAGAUCCUGGCUGGAGGUGAGAUAGCUGACUUCAUCAUUGUUCUGAGGAAUACUGAUGCCAUCAGGAUAUUCAGUGGAAAGGCACAUCCAUCUGUUGGUGCUGGUGUUAGUGCUUCUGCUGGCCAUGUCGGACGAGUAGCUGAGGCUGACUUCCGUGCUGGUGAUGGCUAUGCUAGAAAAUGAAAUGAGAUCAGAGAUAGACAACGAAUUCAGAGAUACAUAUUCAGAUUUAAUUUGAUGAAUAGCAAAUUCAUGUUUGUAAAAAAAAUAAUAUUUAGAUCCUGUUCGGCAUGGCUCUAACUCAGGGUGGAGUGGCUCCACUCCAGAACUCCA